AAGGAAUAUUGGACAAUGGAGGCAACUCUGAUCCAGCCAUGCCGCGUGAAGGAAUAAGGCCCUAUGGGUUGUAAACUUCUUUUAGACGGGACAAAACCCCUUUACGUGUAAAGGGUUGAUGGUACUGUCAGAAUAAGCAUCGGCUAACUUCGUGCCAGCAGCCGCGGUAAUACGAAGGAUGCAAGCGUUAUCCGGAAUUAUUGGGUUUAAAGGGUGCGUAGGCGGACUAAUAAGUCAGUGGUGAAAGCCUGCAGCUUAACUGCAGAAUUGCCAUUGAUACUGUUAGGCUUGAGUACAGUUGAGGUAGGCGGAAUGUGUCAUGUAGCGGUGAAAUGCUUAGAUAUGACACAGAACACCGAUUGCGAAGGCAGCUUGCUAAGCUGUAACUGACGCUGAGGCACGAAAGCGUGGGGAGCAAACA
rnacentral:rRNA from 1 species